CAGAUAAUGUUAUUUGUCACCUGGUUAGCUAAUGAGAUUGUUGAUAGCUACUGUUAGUGCUUCUAAAUUGUUAUAGCACUAAAACCAUUUGAAGAAAAGGGCAAUAAUGUUAAUGUUAAGGGUCACCUGGUUAGUUAAUAAGAUUGUUGAUAACUGUUCUAGAUUUUUACAGCACUAAAACCAUUUUAUAAAAUGAGCAAUAACAUUAAUAUUAAUGGUCACCUGGUUAGCUAAUGAGAUUGUUGAUGGCUACAGUUGUUAGCUGUUCUAAAUUGUUACAGCACUAAAAGCAUUUUACAAAAUGAGCAAUAACACUAAUAAUGGUCACCUGGUUAGCUAAUGAGAUUGUUGAUAGCUACUGUUGUUAGCACUUAUACAUUGUUACAGCAUGAAAACCAUUUGAAGAAAAGGGCAAUAAUGUUAAUGAUAAUGGUCACCUUGUUAGCUAAUGAGAUUGUUGUUAGCUCUACUGUUAUUAGCUGUACUAAAUUGUUACAGCACUAAAACUGUCUGAAAAAUGGGGGACAAUUUUGUUAUUGUGCAUAUAUUUAACUAGAGAUUGUUGAUAGCUGAUGUUGUUAGCUGUUGUAAGGUUCAAAAGCCAAGUCAUUUUGAAGAAAUGGCAAAUAAAGUUAAUGUUAUAUGUAAGAUUUAAGCCAGUAAUUUGAGUUUGAGAACAGAGCAAAUAUAACAUCCGUUUUAUCUCAGACAACGCAUUAAUAGUGACUCCUGAGAUCAUAUGGACACAAAAGUGAUGUUCUACCAAGGAAAGCAGCUUUUUAAGUCUUUUCAGGUAUUCAUGUGUAUCCUGCCAUACAUACAAAAAUCAGUAUAUAACCGAGGAAAAACAAAGCAUGUUCACUAUUCAACAAAUCAGCCUGACCAGCCCAUUACACUUGAAUAAACCUGAUUGUAAAUUCACAAGACUGGACAGAAAGACUUGAACUGAAGGCACAAUGAAUGCAGCCUACAAAUAAAGAUGUGUUACAGAAAUGAAUUAUUGAGUUGUAUGAACGUUGAGAUCAUGCUUAAACUCUGUCUUACAAAUAACAGUUUGCACUAUGGCACACCAAUAGAAAGAAUUGGUUGCUACGUAAAGUUGUAAAAACUGAUUUUUAUAUGUUUGCUAAUUUGUAUUGUAUACAUAUGCCAUUGUUUCCAUUAGAAGUUGCCUUUCUGAACCACUGUUGGUAAGUGUAUAAAGCCACAAUCUAGUGAGAUAUAAAAAAUGUAAUACAGCAACUAUAUACUUGUUUAACAAAUAAAGUUCAUAGCUUAUUUGUUAA